rnacentral:rRNA from 1 species
UAACGCAUUAAGCACUCCGCCUGGGGAGUACGUACGCAAGUAUGAAACUCAAAGGAAUUGACGGGACCCGCACAAGCAGCGGAGCAUGUGGUUUAAUUCGAAGCAACGCGAAGAACCUUACCAGGGCUUGACAUGCCACUGACCGUUCUAGAGAUAGAGCUUUACCUUCGGGUACAGUGGACACAGGUGGUGCAUGGUUGUCGUCAGCUCGUGUCGUGAGAUGUUGGGUUAAGUCCCGCAACGAGCGCAACCCUUGUCUUUAGUUGCCAGCAUUAAGUUGGGCACUCUAGAGAGACUGCCGAUGACAAAUCGGAGGAAGGUGGGGAUGACGUCAAAUCAUCAUGCCCUUUAUGUCCUGGGCUACACACGUGCUACAAUGGUCGGUACAACGAGAAGCAAGCUAGCGAUAGCAAGCAAAUCUCUAAAAGCCGAUCCCAGUUCGGAUUGCAGGCUGCAACUCGCCUGCAUGAAGUCGGAGUUGCUAGUAAUCGCGGAUCAGAAUGCCGCGGUGAAUGCGUUCCCGGGUCUUGUACACACCGCCCGUCACACCAUGGGAGUUGUCAAUACCCGAAGCCAGUGAGCUAACCAGUAAUGGAGGCAGCUGU